rnacentral:rRNA from 1 species
AGAGUUUGAUCCUGGCUCAGGAUGAACGCUAGCUACAGGCUUAACACAUGCAAGUCGAGGGGAAACGACAUCGAAAGCUUGCUUUCGAUGGGCGUCGACCGGCGCACGGGUGAGUAACGCGUAUCCAACCUGCCCACCACUUGGGGAUAACCUUGCGAAAGUAAGACUAAUACCCAAUGACGUCUCUAGAAGACAUCUGAAAGAGAUUAAAGAUUUAUCGGUGAUGGAUGGGGAUGCGUCUGAUUAGCUUGUUGGCGGGGUAACGGCCACCAAGGCGACGAUCAGUAGGGGUUCUGAGAGGAAGGUCCCCCANAUUGGAACUGAGACACGGUCCAAAACUCCGUACGGGAGCA